rnacentral:rRNA from 1 species
GACGGAGGGCGCAAGCGUUGUUCGGAAUCACUGGGCUUAAAGGGCGCGUAGGCGGGCUGACAAGUCUGGGGUGAAAUGCCGCGGCUCAACCGUGGAACUGCCUUAGAUACUGUCGGCCUCGAGGAAGGUAGGGGCAUGCGGAACUGUAGGUGGAGCGGUGAAAUGCGUAGAUAUCGAGAGGAACACCUGCGGCGAAGGCGGGUUGCUGGGCUGACACUGACGCUGAUGCGCGAAAGCCAGGGGAGCGAACGGG